AGUCUGGUGGUGUAGUUGGUUAUCACGUCAGUCCAACAGCGUGAGGGCAUCUCACGAUGCCCUCACUCCUGCUCACUGAAACGUGUGAUUGCGUCCAAGGUCUCCGGUUCAAGUCCGGGCUGGAUCA